rnacentral:rRNA from 1 species
GACGAACGCUGGCGGCGUGCUUAACACAUGCAAGUCGAACGGAAAGACCCUGCUUUUGUGGGUUGCUCGAGUGGCGAACGGGUGAGUAACACGCGAGUAACCUGCCCUUGACUUUGGGAUAACUUCAGGAAACUGGGGCUAAUACCGGAUAUGAGCUCCUGCUGCAUGGGGGGGGUUGGAAAGUUUCGGCGGUUGGGGAUGGACUCGCGGCUUAUCAGCGUGUUGGUGGGGUAGUGGCUUACCAAGGCUUUGACGGGUAGCCGGCCUGAGAGGGUGACCGGCCACAUUGGGACUGAGAUACGGCCCAGACUCCUACGGGAGGCAGCAGUGGGGAAUAUUGCACAAUGGGCGGAAGCCUGAUGCAGCAACGCCGCGUGCGGGAUGACGGCCUUCGGGUUGUAAACCGCUUUCGCCUGUGACGAAGCGUGAGUGACGGUAAUGGGUAAAGAAGCACCGGCUAACUACGUG